rnacentral:misc_RNA from 1 species
AAGACACGUGAGUCAUCGAAUCUUUGAACGCACAUUGCGCCCAUUAGUAUUCUAGUGGGCAUGCCUGUUCGAGCGUCAUUUCAACCCUUAAGCCCUCGUUGCUUAGUGUUGGGAGACUACGGUGACGUAGCUCCCCAAAACCAGUGGCGGAGUCGGUUCGUACUCUAGACGUAGUAAUUAUCUCUAUUCUCGUCUCUGUAGUCGGAUCGUCCCCUGCCGUAAAACCCCCAAUUUACUACAAGGUUGACCUCGGAUCAGGUAGGAAUACCCGCUGAACUUAAGCAUAUCAAUAAGCGGAGG